UACGUAGGGGGCAAGCGUUGUCCGGAUUUAUUGGGCGUAAAGAGCGUGUAGGCGGCCAAGCAGGUCCGCUGUGAAAACUCGAGGCUCAACCUCGAGACGUCGGUGGAAACCGUUUGGCUAGAGUCCGGAAGAGGAGAGUGGAAUUCCCGGUGUAGUGGUGAAAUGCGUAGAGAUCGGGAGGAACACCUGUGGCGAAGGCGGCUCGCUG
rnacentral:rRNA from 1 species